CGUAGGGUGCGAGCGUUAAUCGGAAUUACUGGGCGUAAAGCGUGCGCAGGCGGUUUAGUAAGACAGGCGUGAAAUCCCCGGGCUCAACCUGGGAACUGCGCUUGUGACUGCUAAGCUAGAGUACGGCAGAGGGGGGUGGAAUUCCACGUGUAGCAGUGAAAUGCGUAGAGAUGUGGAGGAACACCAAUGGCGAAGGCAGCCCCCUGGGUCGAUACUGACGCUCAUGCACGAAAGCGUGGUAGCAAACAGGAUUAGAUACCCUGGUAGUCCACGCCCUAAACGAUGUCAACUAGGUGUUGGGAGGGUAAAACCUUUUAGUACCGGAGCUAACGCGUGAAGUUGACCGCCUGGGGAGUACGGCCGCAAGGUUA
rnacentral:rRNA from 1 species